ensembl:snRNA U6 U6 spliceosomal RNA
GUGCUUGCUUUGGCAGCACAUAUACUAAAAUUGGAAGGAUAUAUAGAAGAUUACCAUGGCCCCUGUGCAAGGAUGACACUCAAAUUCAUAAGGCAUUCCAUAUUUUU